GACGAACGCUGGCGGCGUGCUUAACACAUGCAAGUCGAACGGAAAGGCCCUGCUUUUGUGGGGUGCUCGAGUGGCGAACGGGUGAGUAACACGUGAGUAACCUGCCCUUGACUUUGGGAUAACUUCAGGAAACUGGGGCUAAUACCGGAUAGGAGCUCCUGCUGCAUGGUGGGGGUUGGAAAGUUUCGGCGGUUGGGGAUGGACUCGCGGCUUAUCAGCUUGUUGGUGGGGUAGUGGCUUACCAAGGCUUUGACGGGUAGCCGGCCUGAGAGGGUGACCGGCCACAUUGGGACUGAGAUACGGCCCAGACUCCUACGGGAGGCAGCAGUGGGGAAUAUUGCACAAUGGGCGGAAGCCUGAUGCAGCAACGCCGCGUGCGGGAUGACGGCCUUCGGGUUGUAAACCGCUUUCGCCUGUGACGAAGCGUGAGUGACGGUAAUGGGUAAAGAAGCACCGGCUAACUACGUGCCAGCAGCCGCGGUGAUACGUAGGGUGCGAGCGUUGUCCGGAUUUAUUGGGCGUAAAGGGCUCGUAGGUGGUUGAUCGCGUCGGAAGUGUAAUCUUGGGGCUUAACCCUGAGCGUGCUUUCUAUACGGGUUGACUUGAGGAAGGUAGGGGGAGAAUGGAAUUCCUGGUGGAGCGGUGGAAUGCCCACAUAUCAGGAGGAACACCAGUGGCGAAGGCGGUUCUCUGGGCCUUUCCUGACGCUGAGGAGCGAAAGCGUGGGGAGCGAACAGGCUUAGAUACCCUGGUAGUCCACGCUGUAAACGGUGGGUACUAGGUGUGGGGUCCAUUCCACGGGUUCCGCGCCGUAGCUAACGCUUUAAGUACCCCGCCUGGGGAGUACGGCCGCAAGGCUAAAACUCAAAGGAAUUGACGGGGCCCCGCACAAGCGGCGGAGCAUGCGGAUUAAUUCGAUGCAACGCGUAGAACCUUACCUGGGUUUGACAUGGAUCGGGAGUGCUCAGAGAUGGGUGUGCCUCUUUUGGGGUCGGUUCACAGGUGGUGCAUGGCUGUCGUCAGCUCGUGUCGUGAGAUGUUGGGUUAAGUCCCGCAACGAGCGCAACCCUUGUUCACUGUUGCCAGCACGUUAUGGUGGGGACUCAGUGGAGACCGCCGGGGUCAACUCGGAGGAAGGUGGGGAUGACGUCAAGUCAUCAUGCCCCUUAUGUCCAGGGCUUCACGCAUGCUACAAUGGCUGGUACAGAGAGUGGCGAGCCUGUGAGGGUGAGCGAAUCUCGGAAAGCCGGUCUCAGUUCGGAUUGGGGUCUGCAACUCGACCUCAUGAAGUCGGAGUCGCUAGUAAUCGCAGAUCAGCAACGCUGCGGUGAAUACGUUCCCGGGGCU
rnacentral:rRNA from 1 species